AUGAAGCUCACAGUCAUACUUAUCACCAUUAUCACAAUCAACCAACUGGAUCCUACUUAUCGGAAUCAACAAGCAGGUCUUGAUCACAUGUUGAGGAAUUUACUGCAUAUUAAUAUAACCUUCCAUAAAUAUUACUGGUUCUAUAUUUAUAAACAAUCCUACAUUACAAAUGACAAAUUUAAUGUACGGGUGUUUGGAAACACCUAUGUCACUUACAAGAAUGUUUUUCUCAACAACCUUUGGAACAUCUACUUCCUUCUUCCAUACACAAUAUGUUGGAAGUUUUUUAAGGUCCUCAUCCAUUGA